UUUCUAUCUCCCCAGAAAUGGCGCUUACAAAAGAAAACAGGCAAAACAACACCAUCAGUGUACAAAAACAUAAUUUGAUACAAGGUGACCUGCUGCAGGUUUUACCAAUAGCUAAUUAAGCUAAUUAAGCUCCUGCACACACCCAACGCUAAGGUUUUGCUUCACGUUAUACUGAAUGGGAACAGAUACACUUGGAGGAUCAUUGUGGUGUGCGGUUUUCUUCUUCUUGAAGUGUUGCCUGCGACUUCAGCGCCCAAAAUCAGCCUCAGAGAUUUUCUAGCAGAAAAGCUAUUAAAGGGUCUUUGGAUGAAAAAAUGGGUUUCCAGGAAUGUCAUCGAGUAUUUCUGACUCUGUUUCAAUAUACAUUUAAAAGAUCCAUAGUCUGCCCCUGGGUGCAUUGUAGUUGCAUUUUUUAUGGGGAACUUAAUCUUACAUAUUUGGCAUCUCAUUUAAUCAGUGGUAGUCAAGACGGUUUGCUGUAUUUGAAAACAUCAAGCAGAGUGACGCAUUGGGCAAAAUAAUUAUUUUAUAAAAUAACAAAAAAAAAGAGAACAUUUUGCUAGAGAUAAAGAUAAUGUAGUAGACUGACUAAAGCUUUCUGACAGGAGCCCUCUCAUGGGAUGUGUAUAAUUCAAGAGUACAAAUGAGAAUGCAGAAACGCUUAUUCAGAUUCUUCUCUUCAUAAACUUUUUUUUUUAUUUAUAAUAAUGUUGGAAAAUUAAGUUCUGUUGCAUAAAAAUGUAAACUUGAAAAAUUCGAUAAAAUAAAAACCACAAAUACAGCUAUUGUUGAGCUGAAGUGUUUUCCUUCCAUUGUGU